AGAAACAACACGAUCAGAAAUGAUUGCUCUGGUGGUGUUAAUAAUCUGCUUGGCCAUUUCUGUGAUUGUGAAUAUCAUUUUCAUCUGUUACCGAAUUCCAAGAGCAGCAGAAGAACAAUUCACAGAAUUCACCUCUUCACAAACAGGACAAGACAAUGUAAACCAACUAGCGGUUGAUGUGACUGAAGGUGGACAUGAUCUGAACUAUGCUGCACUGCAUCUCUCUGGAAGGAAAGCUUCACGAGGAAAGAAGAAGACGGAGUUGACGCCUGAAGAAAGUGUUUAUUCUCAAGUUAAAUACCAAAUGUGAAUAUAUCUAUGAAAAACUGAUAAUUUACUUAUAGUACUGAGCUCUUAAAUUGAAAAAAUAAUAAUACACAUCACUGAUUACAGUCUUAUUUUAUUAAAAGCAACCUGUUAAAUGGCAAAAGACAAAAUCUCCUCCAUUCUGUCUGUGAUGAAGCCUCACUUGUCGAGGUUUGGUUUGCUUUACUUACAGUUUUAUUUUUUUAAAAAGGAUCCUUGUCACUGGGUGUCUCUAGCUAGU